rnacentral:rRNA from 1 species
UACGGAGGGUGCAAACGUUGCUCGGAAUUAUUGGGCGUAAAGCGCACGUAGGCGGUCUAGCAAGUCGGAUGUGAAAGCCCUCAGCUUAACUGAGGAAGUGCAUUCGAAACUACUAGGCUUGAGUACUGAAGAGGACGACGGAAUUCCCGGUGUAGAGGUGAAAUGCGUAGAUAUCUGGAGGAACACCGGUGGCGAAGGCGGCAUCCUGGACCGGUAUUGACGCUGAGGCGCGAAAGCCAGGGGAGCAAACGGG